AACACAGGUCUGUCCAGGAUCCUUGAUGCAUUAGCAACGGGAGAAGCCUGGGCCAAAUGCCUGGUUACUCAUUAGCCAACCCCAGAGCUUCUUUCUGCAAGGAAGGACGAGGGGAGCCAUUAACCCAUCUGAAAGAAAGGCCAAGCUAAACAUCUAAGUCUGCAGUGCAGAAAGACAAGGUGGGUUUCUGGAGCCUUCCCUCAGACAAUCAGGGGGAAGUCCAGGGGAUGGAAAAGGACAGGAGGGGCGUGCGACUAUUUAUAGGAACUUUUUCACCUAUUGUGUCCAUUCACCCCGACAUGCCCGCCAAAAGGGGAAAGGGUGACAUCCCCACCUCCCAUUUUGUCUCAGUGAAAACCGGAGCUCAAACAGGUUAAGUGCGUUGCCCAAGGUCACCAAGAGUCUCCAAAGAAAAAGCUUAUUUUGUGUGCAACAGGUAUAGCCCUUCCCUUUCCAAAAGGUAAUGGCUGCUCCUGGCUAGAGAAAGUUCAGUCCUGGCCUGCAGGAAGCCCUAAGCGCUGAGGUGCCGUGCGGAGGUCACAAGCCCGCUCCCGGACACUCAGACACGAAGAACAGGGUUGAGGGCGCCGCGCCUCGAUUCCGAGGCCAGUGCGUGCAGCGCUGGGAGGGUGUGGAAAGGUCAGGCUAGAGUGCGGGUCAAUGGGCAGCUUCCCUUCCCAGGGGCCCCGCCCGUGUCCCCGGGCGCCACCCGCCACCGGGGCGGGCACCACAUGGGCCUGUCUGGAGCAGGGGGACUGAGCCUCCAUCUCAUUAGGUCCUCCUCUGCCCUGGGAAGACGAGCGGACGGAGCGCAGGCCCCGCAGGGAGGACGCGUGCAGAGCCCCCGGGGCCAGCGCGCUGCCCUCCGCCCACCCGCGCUGUCCCCAAGGCCUGCGCGCCCCGGCCCCCGCCCCGCCCGGCGCCCGGGCUGCCCACGGUCCACCUCCCGGGCCUCCAACCCGCACGGAUGUCCAGCUCUUAGCAGCUGCAUGCUGGGUACCCCGGAUUUCCAGCGAUCCCCCAGCUGCUGGCCACCAGAUCUCUCGGAAUUCACUCCCCAGGCUCGGACCCGCGUGGAGGGGGAGGGAUCCACUCUCAAUUGCCAAUCACCCUCCGCGUCACUGCCUGGCUGGGGACCCAGGGGGACCCCAGGCCGCCGGCGCCCGAUCCCUCCUGGGAUCGACUCCCAAGUGGCCAACCGGGUGGCGCGGGAUCCAUUGGUGGCCCGGUGCGGGAUCUUCCAGCGGGAUCCACUCCCAAGUCUCGGGAGACGGAUUCCCCGGGUCCCAAGCCGGGCAGCCCCUCCCCGCGGCCCCGGAGCCCGGGGAUCCACUGGGUCCCCGCCUCUUCCACGGCCAACUUUGCCAACUUCCCCCCCCCACCCCCCGGCCUCGGCCAGGCAGAAACUUGGCGGCCCUCGCCCGAAGCCGCCUCCGCAGCCCGCUAGCGGCUCGGGACUGGGGGCGGUUCGCCAGCGCCCACCCCCGCGGCCGCCGCGCAACCUACCCUGGCGCCGCCGCCAGCCCGCGCCGCGCCGCCACCUGCCCGCGGCCGCCGCACCUGCCCGCGCCGGCCCCGCGCAGCCUAGCCUGCUGGGGGCGGGGCCUCGCGCGGGAAGCGCCCCGUCGCCAUGGGAACCGGAGCCCGCGGCGCCUGCGCGGAGAGCACGGGCGGAGAGCGGCCGCCGGACCCUAUCCGCCCUGGGGAACCUGGGCCUGGGGCUGUUUGCCGGGUCGGAGGUCAUCCCUCCCGACCCUCAAACCGUGACCCCGCCGCGUCCCCAGAGCCAUCCCAGGCACGAGUCGGAAAGCCCCGCGACGGGCACCGACCGGCAGCCGGGUGCGUGUCCCCCAGCGCCCCAGGCCGCCGGGCAAUUCAGGGGGCUCUGGGCGAGGGCAGGUCACACAGCGCCUGGACUGCGGGCGCCGGCCAGGAGUCGCGAGAUCUGCUCGGGGUGCUGGCACCCCCUGGCGGCGGGCUUGGGGACUGCACCUAUGUCCUCGGCGAGGCGCGCAUCCUACUGUGAGCCAAGCCACUGCCUUGUUGUUGCGGAAGGAAAUGAUGAAUGUAGGCUUGUGUAUCAGUUGAGAAAAUCGUAGGAAGUCGCCCCUGGGAUGGGAGGUGCCUGUCCUGCGUCCUGUUAACGGAGAUCCACUGUGUUGCGCAGGCUGGCCUGGAAUUCCUGGGCUCAAUCAAUCCUCCUGCCUCAGCCUCCGCAGUAGCUGGGACUGCAGGCGCGCGCCACUGUGCCCAGCCAGCGUAUCCUUAUGAAGCACCCCCCCUCUUUGCUGCGUGCUGGGGAUAUGGCACUGAAGCAACUGGCAGCAUCCUGGCUCUUGGAGCUUACAGAUUUUUUUUUGCGGGGUGGGGGAGGGGUGAACAAGUAUAUUGAAUUGCAUUUGUGACUCUGCUGCUAAGGAGAAUUUCUGAGCAUGGGUAACUGGAGGACCUGACAUCAUUUGUGCCUUUAAGUCAGCUAGACCUCGAUAUAGUUGAGAGAGAGAAGAACAUCACACUGUGUGACUUCUGGAGAACUGCAGGAACACUCUCUCGCUUCAUCUUUACCUCAGGUUGUUGGUGUGUACAAAGGGCAGUUCACGCGAUUGCCUUGUUGGGACCACCACCCAUCUAUCCCCUUAUACUGAGGAACUACCUAGGGCUCCCCAAGAGACUUGUCGCAAUGACAGAACCCAGAAAUGAUGAGAAAGAGGACCUGUGACGUCUUAUAUCUUAGGAUAUUCUCCUUGAUCAUGAUGUCAUGAACACAGUCACCAACAGGACCCAUCUCAGUGGUUUUUAUGUAGGACCACCAGUACCUCUUUAAGACAGGAAACAGAGGAUGAUUGGAAUGAAAUCUCAAAAUCUGUCUUCUUUAUUGUGAAACAAAAUCUCUCUAAGUUGCUUUGGACCUUGCUAUAUUCUGAGGCUGGUCUCAAACUUUCCAUCCUUCUGCCUCAGCCUCCAGAAUUGCUGGGAGCCUCCUGGAAGGGACGUAUGUUUACUCCUGAUUCUUUUUUUUUUUUUUAAGAGAGAGUGAGAGAAUUUUAAUAUUUAUUUUUUAGUUUUCGGCAGACACAACAUCUUUGUUUGUAUGUGGUGCUGAGGAUCAAACCCUGGCCGCACACAUGCCAGGCGAGUGCGCUACCCGUUGAGCUACAUCCCCAGCCCCUACUCCUGAUUCUUAUUGCUUUGUACAGAUUAGGCACAUAACAGGUAGCACUCUGAAUGGACGUAAAACCACAAGUGAGCAACACUUGCUAAGGUACCAUCUGCGGCCUCUCCUGUCUAACCUUAUAGGAACUUUCCAUUUCUCCUUGAUAGGACCAGAAUGCAUGGGCUGGAGGUUAUGCCAAAUGGAUGUUCUGUUUCUCAGUCCUUCCACUUGCCAUCUCCUCUCCAUCCCAGAAUGUAAGCAGAAAAGGGGACAAGACAGUAUUCCUCCUGAGACCUCUAACCCAGAUGUCUCCCCACUGGUGACCUCCCUGUCCCCCAUUCUGACAUGUCAGCUCUUCUCCCACCAUCAAGGUUUAAGGGAUUUCCAGAAGCACCUAACUACAACUCCCAGAAUCCUUCUGGAUGCACAGGGGGUGGGACUUCCUGGUCCAGCCCCUCCUUACUUCCCCCUGCACUCCAGUACCCUCCCUCUCAGUUCUGACUCCCAAGAGGUGUCAGGUUCAGGUUGUUUCCAGAAUCAAACUCUGACCCCUCAGGGUAGCCCUGACUUUCCUCUUCCUGAGGACAAAGGACAGUGCCAACCAGGGUCUGUCCUGGGACCCCUUCUCGGCCAUCUUCUGCCUCCUCCUUCAGGAAGUGUGUCCUGAUUCGGCUGCCAGUGCUCAGGCUCUCUGGUGGCUGUGUCCCCUAGAGCUUCCUCCAGUGAUGGAGCGUCCUGUGUCUGCGCUGAACACCAUUAGCCCCUGGUAACCACUGGUGACCACUGAAAAGGUGGCCUGAGAGAUGGAGGGGCUGAAUUUUAAAUUUUAUUUUGUGUUUAAUUCAUUUGAAUGUGAACCGCCCCCCCUGCCCGCCCCCCACCACGUCCACUGCUUGGAACCGUCUGGCCCGGGAGACCACCCACCGCUUGGCCAAGGUCCUGGCCACGCAUCCCUGUGGGUGGCACAUUGAUUCAUUUUGUUUUUCUUGUCAUUCACACUUCUUGAGGGUGAGAGCCAGUGUAUUCUUCAGGAUUUUCUCUCAACCCAGACCUUUGCCCAUGCCGUGUCCCCUGCCAGGAAGACUUCGCCCUCUGCCUGCCUGUCAUCUGGUUAAUGACUCCAUGUCCCUCCGAUCUUGGCUGUGACUUCAAUUCCUCCCAGAGCCAUCCCCGACUACCGAGGCGGGUUAGAUGCCAAAGCCUCUGAAUCUUGUAUGACUCCCCCACCUCCAUGAACGCCCGGAUUGCACUGGGGUAUAAUUACCAGUUUUUUCUCUGCCUCGCCUUCUAGAGCAUGAGGACGCGGAGGGCAGGGACCAGCAGGAUAACUGAAACGGAGCUGACCCUUGAUAAAUAUUCAUGGAACUCAGUGUCGAAUACAUGUUUUCAUAUGAUGGGAUCCCGUGGCUGGUGGACAGUAAUGAUAUUAAUAUACACUGUCAUUGAUUAAGUCAAAUGCUUUGCCUGUGCUGUCUCAUUAGAUGUCACAACGAUUCAGUGAGAGAUGAUCUAUUACAAUCUCCUUUUCACAGAUGAGGGAUCUGAAGCUCAGAGAGGUUAGGUACAUUGCCCAGAGUCACACAGCUAGUAUCUCAGUCUGGCUUCCCUGGAAAACAGAGCCUGAGGCAAAUCUUAUGUGCUAAUGCUUUAUUGGGGAUGUGAACCCAGUCCAGUAAGGGACUUCCCUUCUGAAAGGGGACCUGGAGGCAGGGAAGGAGGGAGAGCAAAUCUAAGACAUGCCAAAUGGGGCUGGCCUCAGAAUCUCAAGGAACCAUCCAGGAGCUCCAUCACCCUGGGAAUCUCCGCAGGGACAGACCUCCGCAGGGACUAUGGGCGAUAUGUGACCUGCUGGCACCUGCCGUUUCCCGUCUACCUUAGUGGCAGUUAGGGCCAGUCACUCCUCACUUCUGGGUCGGGUCCUGCACCCCUGCUGCCCCAGGGAAGCCACUUCCUUGCUCACCUGAGAAGGGAAGAGAGGACCCCGAGUUCCGUCCCUCACAGGGUGUGGUCCGGGCAGUUUGGACUGCAGCUGGGGUGUUGGGAGCCUGGGCUGGGAUUCAGGCCACACCCCUGCAGGCUCAGCUGGCCAAGUGACUGGGCAGCUGACCCAGGCCACCUGCAGGGGGAGGUGAGCCGAGGCUGGAGGGAGUCCAGAGGGACAGAGCCCAGGUCACCUGCAAAGGUGUGUCCAUCAAACUGACACCCUAGUAAACACCAGAGCUGGGAUCCUGAUCCCUCCAAAGGCCAUCAGCGAACAUUGAUUGACAGAAAAACGAAUCAAUGAGUGAGUGAUUGAAUGAGGAGGGGGCCAGAGCAACUACCUGGUCCAGGGGCGCCAGGUGGAGAGGCUGAGGCCCAGAGAGGCCGGGCGGCCCUAACUAAGGUCACACCUAUAGGGCGCAGCAGGGACCCUAGCGUGUUCCAGACUUUUCUGGUCAGGUUUUCUGCACGGGGCUUGCUGGACCCUCCUGUGUCUGAGAGUGCCCGCCCGUCCAUGCUCGUGUUCGCCAGCAUUUUUGGAACACCGAGGUGACACCUCUUACUCUCACCUGCCCAGGGCCCACCCCUGUCCUGUCACACCCCCUCAGUCUUCCUCCUGGAGCCCAUCCCAUCCCCCAUCCUCCAUCCACGUGGGUGUUUUUUUUUUUUUGAGCGGGUGAGCCUCAUGGUAUCCCCGCCCUAUCCCAGUUCCAAACCCCAACCCCCAAUCCUGAGCCCCAGGAACUGGAUGAGAACGUCUCAUGUCCCUGGCCACGGGAUUGAUUCAGGGAUGGGCACGUGACCCAAGCUUGUCCAAUGAGAAUUCAUCACAACACUUGCAACAGCUGUGCAGAGAGAAGAGCUUCUUUACUCCAGGAUUGUGGAGCCUGAGAAUGUCAGCCCGAAGCCACCCGAGGCCAACACUGUCAGGAGAAUCUGCCUGAGAAUGAAGGCAGCUGAGCAGAAAACACAGCUGAGAAGGGCAGACAGACAAAAGGAUCUUGAAGACGUGGCUUAUCCACCUGGAUCCAGCCAUGCCUGAAGCUGCACCACAGGAUUUCCAGUUAUGUGCCGAGUCUUGUGCUGAAUGCUGGGGGAGAGAUAUUUAAGACACAGCGCCUGGCUUUGGGGAGUUCACAGCUUGUAGAGAAGGUCCUGAUGGGAAUACAGAGAACUAUGUCUGCCCUGGCCUGGGGCAGAGCUCUGACAGGUAGUGACCUGUGGCCAGACCCGAGAUUGUAAGUCAGUGAAUCCCCUUCUCCUGCCCAGGGACCAGCAACCCCCGCCCAACCCCAUGGGGCUGACUUUUCCUACUGUACCCAGCCCACCCAGCCCCCAAGUGAAAGGCUGUUGAUUUAAGGAACCCCGAGAGAAAACACAAGGUGUGGCCUCCUGCUGGCCAGUCACCUGGGUCCUUGUCUACCUGAAGAUUCUCUUCAAAGGCAGCGGGGUCUCUUGCAAGAUCAAGACUUAGAUCCAAAGCCAGACACGGACCGGGGGGCGGCCACCUCGGAGCCUGGACCUAAGGCGUGGUGGCCGGAGAGAAGGGCCCUCCAGGUGAGGAGGGUGAGGGUGGGAGCCUGCUGGCCCAGCACGCCCAGGCUCCGGGGGUCCUGGAGCCCCAGAGGUCAUAGACGGUAUUGGGGGCACAUGCGUCAUUGAGCCUCCACAGGGAAAAACUAACUCCUGUGUUGGGGGACCCUUCACUCCACAAGGGGGAGCUCCGCUGGGCCAGGACACGGCUCAGAGCCACCGCGUCGUUUGUCUCAGGGGGCUCAGCCACCUCGCCAGGAACUGCACCAGAAAUCAGCGGCCCCUGGCAUCCGAGGAGCAGUGGGAGAAUCAGAUGGGGGACCCUAGUGGCAGCCCUUCCCAGUCCCGAGGGGUCUAGCUUCAGCUGGACGCCACCUGGACCCCCAGGCUGGGUGGGGUCCUGCUCUUUGCUCUCACCUGCCAGCCUGGCGGGGAGCAUGCCCGUGUGGGUCUGUGGGUGGCGGGUUGGCACCAGUGCACAGCCUGGGCUCACGAUGACGUCACGCUCAGCCACCUCCCUCCCCUGGCACACCUGCUCCUUGGGCAGGUUCCCAGUGUCACCUGACGCCAGCUCCCUCGUCCCAGGUGCCCAGGACAAAAGUCCAGGGUCUGCCUGGCCUCCCAGCUUCCUCUACCACACCCCAGCUCCCCCUGGGCAGCCCUGGCCACGGCCUUCCCCCUACCUGUUGCCAAGUCGCAGCCCUGGCUGAAGACCCUCAGCUCCCUGCGGUGACCCCUCUCCCUGUUCCUCACCCAGGGCCAGAGAGGUUCCCCGCCUGCUUGAGACCACCGGAGACUCCCCGGCUGCUCAGAAGUCAAAAGCCAAAGCCCUGUUGUUGUGACAAGCCCACCAUGCUCCCUCCUCUCCUCCCCGCCACAUGGGCCUCGCUGCCUCAUUAGACCCUUGCACACCCCAGGACUCUUGCACCUGCUCCUCCAGAGGCCAAAGCCUUCACCACCCCUGACCAGGUGGCUCCUCCUUCACCCACUCCAGGUCCUUGUUCAAAGGUCACCUUCUCCUGAGGUUUCCCGUGACCAUCCCGUCCCUUCCAGGCUUCGCUUUUCUUGUGGUUCUUAUUCAGAUCAAGCGUCUCCUUGGUAUCUCGAUCCCCCCUAGCUGUAAGGGCCCCCAGAGGGGCUGCCUGUCUUCCCCCUGCUGCUGAACCCCCCGCACCUGGAACCGUCCCUGGAACACGGCGGAGUCGUAAUGUUGGUUGGGUGGAUGGCCACAUGGACAUGUUCUGUUACCCUGUUUGUCUGUCUUUCCCACCAAACUCUAAACUCCUUGAGGCGAAGGACUCUGCCCUGUUUGCCAUUGUAAUCUAGGGGUGGGGGGCGGGGGCCACUUUGGGGGGCACGUGGACGUUGAAGGAAUGAUCCCAACCUUCGAUUCACGGAGAGGGACAUGGAGGCUGGGGGCAGAGAGACUCCAGGCCUCCCAAUUCUGCUCCCGAGACUCCCGUGGCCGGCUGUCCCUCCUGGACCACCUGUGUGCUCCCAAUGACAGCAGGUGGCAGAGACGUCCUGCCCUGACCCUGAGCAGUCCCGGGAAGCCGCCUGUAAGAUGGAGUUGAUGCAACCAGCAGCGACCUCAUGGGGUGGCCGGGAGGCUUACAGGAAGGGAUGCACUGGAAGUGUUGGGUCCGGGCCAGGACAGAGGGACAAAGCGGCCAGUCUCUCCCAAGCCUCCCUUGGGUGCCCCCCAGCUCCGUGGAGCCUGCCUGGAUGUGCUUUGGGGCCGUAGCGCCUCAUUUAGCUUUCUGGCACCUGUUCUGUCGGAGUGACUUCCCCAGGUGACACUGGCAUUGUUUGGGGAACGGAGCUCCUUUCAAGGUCAGAAACACCCUGCGAGCUCCUGGUGCAGCCAGGGAGAGGCAGCUCCCUGCCAGUCCCGCCGCUCUCUCGGCUCCCUGGCUGGAAUCCAGCCCUGGGACCCUGCCGAGGCCGGAGAGGCUACUUUGGGAGGAUGGGGGCUGGGAGGGGGCCUCCAUCCUCAGGGGGCCGCAUCUUGCAGGUUAUGGAGCCAGGAGUCUAAUCCUGGACUAAAAAGCCCUUGAACCUGACCCUGAGCUGCCCGCCUGGGCUUGUCUCUGCCCGUCCCCUACACAAUGCAGUCUGUCCCCUGCAAUAUUACAGCCACCUGCACCCCCUUUGCGACAGGCUGGCAGAGUGCCCCCCACUCCUGGACUCCGCCUCGGUUGUGAUUUGGGGGUGAAGGGACUCUGGACCAGCUUGCUGGUUUAAUUGCCGUUGGAAAACCAGAGUCGUGCCCUCCAUGAUUCGACGGGUCCCCAAAGUCCCCGUAUUGGAAGCUGAAUUGUUCAUGGUCUUUGGAGGUGGGACUUUGGGAAGAUCAUGGGGGUUAAACGAGGUAUGACAUUUAACCUGUAAUGGCAUCUGUGGCUCUCUAAGGCCAGGAGGAAGGACGAAGCCAGCGUGCUUGUCCCUCCGGGAGGGACUCUGCCAUGCUGGGGCGCAGUGAGAAGGCCCCCACCAGGUGGCGCCCCACGCUCUUGGCCUCCCAGAGUCCAGACUCCAGGAAGCCCUCCAGGAGGCUGGGAGGAGGGAGCCAAGGGGCAGGAGGCGGCUGGGACCCCAGGCAUCGUGUGGCCCUCUGGGUGGAGGCAGACCCUCUGACCGAGAGGGAAGGAGAGAAGGAUGGGAGGACAGAGGACAGACACACGGGAGGGACUGUGCUCUGCAGAAGUGGCGCGGGCAGGGUCCCCUCUGCCUGGGCUCUGACCCCCCUCCUGGACUCCGCGAUUCCUCUUCCAGAUGCGUCAGGGCCGAGCCCCGGACCCCUGCAGCUCUUGGUGUCCCCCAUCCCCCGCUGGAUGGCCAGGCUGGAGGGGGCUGCUGAACCGGGCUCGGGGCACAGGCCAGGUGCCGGGCUGGAGGGCACCUUGUCCCUGCCGUCUCCACCAUUAACCUUGCCCUGGCUCCCAGGUGACCAGUGCCGGAUGGUGGGCAGCGUGUGGGCAGCCCUGGGGCUCUCCCUCAGCUGCAUCUCAGCCCUUGGCCUCGUCUCCCGGCCUGGUUCCAGGCCCCCACCUUCCCCUACUGCUCCUGGCCUCAGGGUGACAGCUGGAACCAGAGCUGAAUGACCUUCACAUCCUUGGAGGACAUUCCUGAGGUGGCCUCCCCAGUUCCUUGGGCCCUCGGGGACACAGCAACUCAUCAGGACAGAGAACGGACUCCAGUGAGGUGGGGUGUGAGGGUCCUUUGUUAUCACCCAGACGUCCCUGCAACUAUGAAGACACCAUUAGGUGUACCAGGUUCUUAAACCUGGUGGCCCUUCAGAGACACCUGCAGAACUUAACAAAACUGCCAAGUCCUGGGGUCCACCUGGACCUCUGGCUCUGCAGGUGUGGGGUGGGUCUGGCUAUAUUUUAGCAAACACCCAGGAUGAUUUCAAAGGCAGCAGCCAGCCAGGUGUGGUGGCGCAGGCCUGUCAUCCCAGCAGCAUAGGAGGCUGAGUUGGGAGGAUUGCAAGUUCAAAGCCAGCCUCAGCAACUUAGUGAGGACUUAAGCAACUUAGCAAGAACCUGUCUUCAAAUAAAAAUUAAAAAGAGCUGGGGAUGUGGCUCAGCGGGUAAGUGCCCCAGAGUUCAAUUCCCGGAACCCAGAACAAAACCAAACCAAAGCCAGCUCCAGGACACUACAGUGCCAUCUGCUGGAAGUUCACUGUCAUGAAUUUUGCAAAUCCAAGAUGAUCCCAGAUUCACCUAGAGUUGUGCAGUGUACAACCUGCACGCUCCUACUUGGUUACCCUCUAAGCUCUGCUAAGUUUGAAAAUGAAAGCUGAGAUGUGGACGUCCUUGUGUUGCUGCUCAUUACCCAAACCAGCAACAGAGCAAAUGGGUGCCCUGUCUGGCACCUCUAGACUGACCACAAAGGAGACGUUACAGGUGCCUCUCCCGGGGAUGCCGAUGUGCAGGGUAGUGAGCGCUUGAUGAUACAGGCCGGGAGGUGGUCGGUGGGUCUGGAUCUCAGUUCUGGCUCCACCACUGAAUUAUCUGUGGCCUGAGCCAAAUCUCUCCCGGGGCCUCCGGCUGUUUGUAGAAACAGGACAUAGUGGACAGAACUCUUGGGGAUGUUUUGAGGACACAGUGGCUGGUCAAGAAGCAAAUGGAGGAGUGUCCGAUGCCCGUCCUGACCCUUCCUCUGCCCUCUUCCUGGCAGGCUGCAGCUGUGAUGCUCCUGGGAGGCUGGCUCCCGCUGGCCUCCAGUGCGGGCCUCCUCCUGUCCUGGGCACUGGCCUCCAAAGACUGUGUCCGAGGAGGGGCGGUGGACUGAUGCCAGGGCUACAGGCCGUGGCAGGGAAGCCACUGGUCAUCCCAAGCCCUCGAGACGCAUUUGCCGAAUGAGUGAAUGAAUGAGCUGUGAGCAGCGUCUGGUCUCCUAAGACAGAUGGCAGAGUUAAGCCCUAGGAUUGUGACCUAUUCUUGGUCCUUAAGCAAGCUGGAAAUUGCUGGGGGUCCGGGAUGAUGGCAUCUUGAUGCAGCCUACUCCUGCCCUGAGCCAACCCAGUUCUUUGAUUCUCUCUUAUCCAUUUGUGUCCUCUGUACCUGGGUGACCCUACACAGUUGGGGAGGUUGUGCACUGCACAAUCAUACCCGGCUAAGAGCUGAGAGAUGCUGACCUCCAGCUGCUGCCCCACUUGCUAAGCCGUAGACACACAAGACUGCACCUGCGGAGGGGGUUGCUUUUCUGAUAUUCACACGCAGCCCCUGGAUGCACCAGCCCAUCUUGACUGCAGCUCUCAGUCCAGUAACUCUCCACCGUGGGUGAAGGUGACCAGCACCCGGCAGGUCUCCCUGCUGCCCGACCCCACCCCCCGCCCCCAGUCGGUCUGCCGCACACUGGACAAACAGGUCCUGCUGAAAGUGAAAUGGGAUCCCGCCAGGCAGGCUGGCUCCUCCACUCUCUGGUGGCUUCCUGUCACAGAGUGAAAUCCAAACUCCGGGUCCAGCCUCUGGGGCUCCCCAGACCCAGGCCUCCCCUCUCCACCGCCUCAUCUUUCCCUCCUGUGCCGGGCUCCACUCCAACCCACUGUCCUUUGCUCCUGUCCCUCCUGCUUGUCCCUCUGCCUGCAACCCGGUUUCCCCAGAUCUUGCCACACCCCGCUCCCCCUGUCUGCUCGGACGCCCUGCCUCCCUGACCUCUGGCAGCUUCUCUCUCCUGCGCUUCGUCCUCCCCGGCUUUAGACCUUCACCCACUUACUUGCUUAUCUGAAAUCCCUUCCCCGUCUCCCAGAUCACUGUCCGUCUUUAUCCACUUGCUCCUGAGAGGGCAAGGACGUAGCCAUCUGCCUCCACAUCCCUGUCGCCCACAAGGUGCCUCACUUAUGAUAAAUGUCCUGCCUUCCAAAUAUUUGUUCAGUCACUGGAUGAAGACGCAACUUUUGUCCUCAGCUUUCAGGGGGAGCAGCAUCUGGCAGUUACAAUGUAUCUUAGUCUGUUUUGUGGUACUGUCAGGAAAUACCCGAGGGUGGUAACAUUAUAAAGAAAAAGUGGUGGGUUUUUUGUUUUUUUUUUUAAUCUUAAUAGUUCUAGAAGCUCCAGGUCAAGGGGCUGCAUAGGGUGGUGGCCUUCUUGCUGGCUGUGUCCUGAGUCAGUGCAGGGCAUCGUAUGGUGGGAGACGGGAGUGUCCAUGUUUGUCCUCCGGUCUCUCCUCCUCCUCUUACUCACACCUGGAGGCCCAGCCUGAUGACCUUUCUACUCUGGAUCACCUCCCCAGAGCCCCCCGCUCCACACAUCUCCAGGGUAGGUGGGCACCCCCCACUCACGGUGGGUGUUAGACGUGACACGGGAGCCGUGGGGAGGCACGGACUCCAUACCCAACUGCGGUGCAGCCCCAAGACGUGUGAUGCCGUGGGACCCGGGAUGGCAGGAGCUCCGGCAGGGGGGGGGGCACCAGGGCAUCUGGUGACUGCAGCCUCAGGGGUGAAGGCUGGAGACCCAAGCUGUGAAGGGACGGUGGCUGGGGGUGGCAGGGGUGGGGACAUGCAGAGUCUCUUGGAGGCCCUCCUCCAGCUCACGUCAUUUCUGUCACUAGUGUCACCACGGCACGUCCAGCGGCUUCUUAGGCUGUUAGCUGGUUGUCUUCAUGGACCUCUAUUCAGUUUGAAGGGAGAUGGCAGGGGGGGCUUCAGUCAUUCCUGGGAACCUGUGACUCCAGCGUCUCCACAGUGGACACUGCCAUGAGGGCCGGGCUGGGCCGCGCUGGCCAUGACCUGUUAUUCUCGUCCCUGCUGUUUGUUAGCAGAGUGCAGCUUCAGCAGACUUAAAAACGACACAACAUUUUUAUGACAGUAGGUUAUACUUAAUAUAAAUUUAACCUUUUUAUGAUUAUUUUUGGUCCUGGGGAUUGAACCUGGGGCACUCAACCAUGGACCACAUCCACCGCCUGCUUUUUUUUUUUUUUAAUUUUCAUUGUUAGACAAGGUUCAAGGCUGGCCUUGAACUCCUGAUCCUCCUGCCUCAGCCUCCCGAGCUGCUGGGAUCACUGGCGUGGGCCACUGCACCUGACCCUGUUGACCCUUUUUAAGGGGACAGCUCAGGUGAUGAUCAAUAUAUUCAAAAUGUCUGCAGCGUUGCCACCACCCAUCCUCAGGGUUCUUUUCAUUUGUAAAAUGACAACUCUGUACCCACUGAACAGUAACUCCCAUUCCUCUCCCCGCCAGGCCCUGGCACCCCCUGUGCCUUCGAUUGUGGUGAACUUGACCCCUCUUCCUCGUGCGAAGGGUCUUACUAGUUCUCCUUUCCCUUCUGCUUACCUCACAUGGCCUGAUAUCCCUCAUCCAGGUUCUCGUUUAGGUCAGAAUUUCCUUCUAUCGUAAGGCUUAGUAAUGUCCACAGCUCUAAAUACACACACGCUUCAAAACAACAAGUCGUACCUAACAAAUAUAUUCUGAGCCGGAUGUGGUGGUUCACAACUGUCAUCCCAACCACUCGGGAGGCUGAGGCAGGAGGGCCUCAAGUUGGAGGCCAGCCUCUGGAAAUUAGUGAGGGGCUAAGGAACUUAGUGAAACCCUUUCUCACAAGAAAAAACAAAUGAAACAGGCUGUGGGUGGCCCAGUGGCUAAGCACCCCUGGGUUCCAUGCCUAGUACCAAAAAAAAAUGUAUAAAAAUACAUAUAUAUUUGUAAAUUUAAAAUGAACGCAUCUUGGGGCUGGGGAUGUGGCUCAAGCGGUAGCGUGCUCGCCUGGCAUGCGUGCGGCCUGGGUUAGAUCCUCAGCACCACAUACAAAGAUGUUGUGCCCACCGAUAACUAAAAUAAAGUAUUAAAAUUCUCUCUCUCUCUUCUCUCUCUCUCUCUACCUCUUAAAAAAAAAUGAACGCAUCAACCGUUCCUUCGCACCGGCACACCCUUCCGCUUGUCUGUUCAUCUGCGUUGGAGCCGGGGCUGUGCCACAUCAGCUGCGGGAACACGGUGCCCGACUUGGGCGCUCAGCCAGAAGGGGGGGUGGCUGAUCCCAUGGCCACCCCUGGAGCCUUCUGGGGAGGAGCUAUGGUCCUCGCAGCAGCUGCACCACCCGCUCCCACCCGCCGUGCGCAGGUCCCCAUGUCCCCCUUGCCACACUCACUUUCUGGGUUUUUGAUAGUCACCAUCCAAAUGUGUGUCGGGGACUCUCAGUGUGGCAUUGAUUUUCAUUUCUCUUGUGACAAGUCAGGUCCCUCCAACAGGCUCUGAUGGUGAGCGCACGGAUGGGCGGGGGGUGGAUGAGCUGAUGUAUGGACGGAUAGAUGGGUGGGUGGAUGCAUGGAUGGUUGGAGGAUGGGGUGGAGGGACGGCUGGGACAGUUGGUGUGACAUGCAGAGAGGUGGAUGGCUGAGUGAAUGCCUCCGUGUAGAGGGGUGGGGAGGAUGAGCUGAGUAGAAUGUGCUUGGAUGGAUGAUAACAGGUGGACGGGGGGUUGAAUGGUGGGUGGACGGCUAGUGGAUGUCGAGGCCUGGGGAAGGCCAGCCCAGUGCCCUCCCACCUUCCGUCUCUAGCCCACCAUCCAGCCUGGCCUCCCCGUUAGCCAAAGCAGUCUGCGAGGCCCCCUCCAUGCACCGUGGUGGGCAGUGCCAGCUGGGUGGGGCUAUGUCACUGCCAUCCUCAAUGCAAUCCUGGCCAGCCUCCUGCCCAUCAUCGGGUGGCCCUGAAUGACCAAGGUCCAGGGGAAUGCCAUCUUCUCCAGUGACACUGAGAAAAUUAUCCUUGUGCCAGAAGUAAGCAAAUAAAAAUCUUCCAGGAAGAACAGAAAGAGUCUACUCUACAGUUGGAUGAAAUCAUGAAUCCAUGUUCAAGUUCAGAUCCCACCUCGGCUGCUUCCUUGCUGUGUGACCCCAGGCAAGCCACUUUACCUCUCCGGACCUAUUUAUUCUUCUGUAAAAUGAAGGGUUGUUAUGACAGUUAAC
rnacentral:lncRNA from 1 species